rnacentral:rRNA from 1 species
AACGAACGCUGGCGGCAGGCCUAACACAUGCAAGUCGAGCGAAGCCUUCGGGCUUAGCGGCGGACGGGUGAGUAACGCGUGGGAACGUGCCCUUUGCUACGGAAUAGCCCCGGGAAACUGGGAGUAAUACCGUAUGUGCCCUUCGGGGGAAAGAUUUAUCGGCAAAGGAUCGGCCCGCGUUGGAUUAGGUAGUUGGUGGGGUAAUGGCCUACCAAGCCGACGAUCCAUAGCUGGUUUGAGAGGAUGAUCAGCCACACUGGGACUGAGACACGGCCCAGACUCCUACGGGGGGCAGCAGUGGGGAAUCUUAGACAAUGGGGGAAACCCUGAUCUAGCCAUGCCGCGUGAUCGAUGAAGGCCUUAGGGUUGUAAAGAUCUUUCAGUGGGGAAGAUAAUGACUGUACCCACAGAAGAAGCCCCGGCUAACUCCGUGCCAGCCGCCGCGGUAAUAC